rnacentral:rRNA from 1 species
UACGUAGGGGGCAAGCGUUGUCCGGAUUUAUUGGGCGUAAAGAGCGUGUAGGCGGCCAUGUAGGUCCGUUGUGAAAACUCGAGGCUCAACCUCGAGACGCCGAUGGAAACCAUGUGGCUAGAGUCCGGAAGAGGAGAGUGGAAUUCCUGGUGUAGCGGUGAAAUGCGCAGAUAUCGUAAGGAAGACCAGUGGCGAAGGCGGGUCUCUGGACAGUUCCUGACACUGAGGCACGAAGGCCAGGGGAGCAAACGGG